UCUACGGGAGGCAGCAGUGGGGAAUAUUGCGCAAUGGGCGAAAGCCUGACGCAGCGACGCCGCGUGAGGGAUGAAGGUCUUCGGAUCGUAAACCUCUGUCAGCAGGGAAGAACGGUCACUGUGCUAAUCAGCAGUGAAUUGACGGUACCUGCAAAGGAAGCACCGGCUAACUCCGUGCCAGCAGCCGCGGUAAUACGGAGGGUGCGAGCGUUAAUCGGAAUUACUGGGCGUAAAGCGCUCGUAGGCGGUAUGUCAAGUCAAGGGUGAAAUCCCCGCGCUCAACGUGGGAACUGACUUUGAAGCUGGCAAACUGGAGUGUGUGAGAGGAUAGUGGAAUUCCAGGUGUAGGAGUGAAAUCCGUAGAUAUCUGGAGGAACAUCAGUGGCGAAGGCGACUAUCUGGCACAUAACUGACGCUGAGGAGCGAAAGCGUGGGUAGCAAACAGGAUUAGAUACCCCGGUAGUC
rnacentral:rRNA from 1 species